CCUACGGGUGGCAGCAGUGGGGAAUAUUGCACAAUGGGGGAAACCCUGAUGCAGCGACGCCGCGUGAGUGAAGAAGUAUCUCUGUAUGUAAAGCCCUAUCAGCAGGGAAGAUAAUGACGGUACCUGAGUAAGAAUCCCCGGCUAACUACGUUCCAGCCGCCGCGGUAAUACGUAGGGGGCAAGCGUUAUCCGGAUUUACUGGGUGUAAAGGGAGCGUAGACGGCAUGGCAAGUCUGAAGUGAAAGCUCGGGGCUCAACCGCGGGACUGCUUUGGAAACUGUUAAGCUGGAGUGCAGGAGAGGUAAGUGGAAUUCGUAGUGUAGCGGUGAAAUGCGUAGAUAUUAGGAGGAACACCAGUGGCGAAGGCAGCUUACUGGACUGUAACUGACGUUGAGGCUCGAAAGCGUGGGGAGCGAACAGGAUUAGAUACCCGAGUAGUC
rnacentral:rRNA from 1 species